CCACUGCAAGGGCAAAGAAGACGCAUUACACCAAGUCACGGUCACGCUACUCUCGCCCCCGAAAGGAACGGUAAUUCCCGCGAUAGGAAUGAGGGAGGAAGACGCGUCCUUCAGGAUGUCCGAGCGGGACGGCGGGGACCGACACCCGCUGGCAGGAAGAGGCCCUCCCCCGGGGAAGCGGGAACGUCCGAGGACAGCCGCUGCCACCGUCCUUCCGGGGGCCUAACUGCACUGACUCUGCGUCUCCCCCGGGCCGAUGUCCUGAGGUUCCCCGCGCAGCAGCGAAGCUUUCUGUGACCGGGAGGCCUGGGCGAACGCCAGCGGGGCAGGUCCUGGCCCUGGGGCAUGAAGGGUCUGGGGACAGAGGGCAGAGCUCACAGCCCUGGGGAGGGGGACAGGGCAGGGGCGGCUGGUGGCUGUGGCUCCCGGUUCUUCUCCUUUUUCAGAUAAGCAAAGCCCUGGCUUCUACAGGACACACCGGUCACCUGGAGGAAAGCCUGUGUCCAGCUUCCCCUGCAGUUGGGUCCGGCCCUGUGACCAAGCUCUGGCCCACGGAACACAAGCGUAAGUGUUCUGUGGAAGUUUCUAGGCAUCUUUUAAGAGAACAGCUGUCUCUCUUAAGCUUGAGAUUAGAAGAUUUCCCUUAGGUCAGCAAAAACAAAAGCCAGAAGGAACCCGGGUACCUGAGGACUCCGUGUAACACAACUCUAGUCCUGGUCUGCCUAUGUAAAGAAUUUCAUAAAAAAAAGAAACGAUCUAAAAAAAAUAAUAAUAAUAAAAAAAAUAAACGAUCUAGUUUAAGCCAA